rnacentral:misc_RNA from 1 species
ACUUAUUUUUUAUUAUGCUUAUGUCAGGUGCGCUGUGAGUACAGCAUGGCUAAUUUUAGUACUGGAGAUCGCAUGAGGAAACCUAAGGGUGAUAGGUAAUACAGCUUUGGAUUUGUGAGGACUGAAGGCAAUGCACUAUCUUUUUCUUCUUUUUAUGUUCACUGAUAGAUUUUAUUCUCUUAAAUUUUAAUAAGAUCAUUCCUCUGAUAUUCAAGAGAAAAAAUAUCUACAACAUUAAAUGAGACUUCCAUACUGCCUUUGGAUUUUUCUAGUUUCCAUGUUUGUAUUGUGAAUUACCAGUGUUGUUAAUAAUGAGGUUGUUUCAGUUUUUUCAAAUGGUUUUUAAAUAGACAUUUUUUUGUUUCUCAUAUCAUUGCAUUUCUUUUUAUAUGCAGGCGAUCAACAGAAAUUUCUCUAGUUAUUCGCCAGACAAUGGAAGCAUGCAUAUUGACACACUUGAUGCCUCGUUCUCAGGUUUUAUUGCAAUUUCUUGGGAUCUUUUUCGCAUGACUGGAUAUUACUUCCCUCCCCUCCCAUCUCUAUCUCUUUUCUAAUGCAUUGUUUUCUAUGUUUGCAGAUAGAUAUUUAUGUACAAGUUCUUCAAGCAGAUGGAGGUAACAUCCAAGUCAUUUAUGAAUCCUUUUGCUAGCUCCUAGAUGAUAAUUGUUUGGAAAAUGAGUUGAACAGAAGUUAGUUAGUAAAUCAAGCCUAUUUAAUGGUGGUACAUGGUGGCAAAGAAACACCCAAUUUUCUUUACAAAUUAGUAAGGGAGGUGAACCAGCCUAUGUCUCUUAGAUCUAAGAACUUGUUACAGCGCCUGCAGUAGUAGUGGAAGUUAUUCAGAUGCUUCGCUAUAUUCCUAUAAAAGAUUCUCAUCUCUAAGAAUGAAAAGUUUUUGCCUUUGAUCUGACUUUUAGUUGUCUGCAGGAACUAGAUCUGCAUGUAUCAAUGCUGCUACUUUGGCUCUAGCAGAUGCUGGAAUCCCCAUGCGUGAUCUUGUUACUUCUUGUAGUGCUGGAUACCUCAAUAGCACUCCUCUGCUUGGUAACUUCACUUUUGUAUCAUUUGGACAAGUGCAGUUUUCAUUUUCAUAUAAUAAUUUUAAUAUAAUAGUAGAGUUGACAUUUGUCAAAUGAGAAUGCAGAUUUGAACUAUGUUGAAGACAGUGCAGGAGGUGCAGAUAUUACAGUUGGAAUUUUACCUAAGUUGGACAAAGUGACACUUCUUCAGGUUUUUUUUAAUCCAAGAUAUGGUCUUCAUAUCUUGUUUAAUUGAUACAAGAUUGUUAAACUUGUGUUUCUUGCUCGGUGCUUAUUUUUUCUUGGAAGCUUUUGUUCUUGCAUGAUAUGGGUGAAAAUUUAGAUUAAGAAAAUAAUUUCUGAUAACAAGAAUUUUGGUGCCACAUCUGUUUCAAAGUUGCUAUAUGUCUGUUGUUUUUUUCAUUUAAGCUAUAUUUUCCCCUAUUCAUUAGGAGGCCUGAGCUAUACAAUGGAAUUUAGCUGUCCCCUUCCCUAACACCUUCUAGCUGUUGUUUCUCUCACUCCAUCAUGGCCAAAUCUUCUUCAAGUGAAUUAAAUAGAAGAU